UACAGAGGGGGCAAGCGUUGUUCGGAAUUACUGGGCGUAAAGGGCGCGUAGGCGGCCUGUUAAGUCGAACGUGAAAUCCCCGGGCUCAACCCGGGAACUGCGUCCGAUACUGGCAGGCUUGAAUCCGGGAGAGGGGUGUGGAAUUCCAGGUGUAGCGGUGAAAUGCGUAGAUAUCUGGAGGAACACCGGUGGCGAAGGCGGCAUCCUGGACCGGUAUUGACGCUGAGGCGCGAAAGCCAGGGGAGCAAACGGG
rnacentral:rRNA from 1 species